CUCAAGUUUUCAAAUCCACCAUUUAUGAAAGGAUGAGUCACCUAUUCUAAAUUGAUGACUCACCUAGCCUAACAUUCUUCAAUCAUGAAUUUAUUCUCUUCCUCCCCAUUCAUUGUGUCAUCACUCUUUUCUAAAUUGAUAACCCACCUAGCCUAAGAUUCUUCAAUCAUGAAAUUAUUCUUAUCCUCAUCAUUCAUUGUGUCAUCCCUUUCUUCUUAAUUCACCUUAUUUUCAUCCUCAUUCUUCUUUUGUUCCUCUUCAAAAUCCAAAAUUCGUCACUUCCUUGGAGCAGCCGAGGACUCAAAUUUCGGAAGCUCAAAUGAGAAACCUUCCUUCAUAAAAGUUGUUCAUUUAUGUGAUUCCUAUAACAUUCUCCAAUUGCAGCUCAAUCCGACUAGCACAGGCUCCAAAAAGUUGGUAUGAUCACAGUAUGUUUACUAUUUUCUGAUUUCGCAAUAGUAUUCUCAGUUUUAAUAUGUUUCUAUGAUUUUCUGUACUCAAAUGACUUUGGUUCCUUCAUCAAAGUUGUUCGCAAUUCUGUCUAUUAUAACAUAUCAAAAUUUUAGGUUGAUUGGACUUCUAUAGCCACCUUGGGAAUAUUUAGAGUGGAACUUGUUUAUAGUCUUCGACCCUAAUUCCUUCCCUCAGUUUCAGUCCAGAACACUCAUUUUGAAACUCAAAACACAAUGAUUUCUUCCUAAUAGUUACUCCAAAUUCUCCUCUUUAUAACAUAUCCAAAGGUUAGCAAAACGCAACCAUUAUAACUUUGAUAAUUGGCAUGAACAAAACUUGUUCAUUGAUUAUAUUGAAUUUCUUGUUAUAGAUAUGUACUUUCUCUCAAAUGGCUUGUUACUUGUCAUUCAAUUGAUCAAAUUAGCCAUUAUCAGCUCAAGUAAAUGAUUCUUUGAAGGUGUUCUACUAUGCAUACUUUCAAGGACGAACCCGCACAAGGUUAAGCUAGUUGGACACGAGGUAGGGUUUCUCGAUUCGCGAUGAUUGGGCUAUAUCACUUUUAAUCUUGGUGCUAAUAUAUAGUGCUAAAAAUAUGAAUAUUAUUGUUGCUUUGCUCGGUGAAUAUUAUUUGACGUCUCUUCAUGGAUAUUAUUUAACGUUGGGUGAAUUAUUAUUCAUGUGAUUAAAUCUGAAAUAUUAUUGUUAUUAUUUGUAUUAUUAUUCAGCAGAGAUAAAUUAUGUUUGCGUUGCAUUACAUAUACAUCAUAAAUACAGUGAUGUUGAGAGUGUGUGUGUGUCGUUUGACAUAUAUCUAAGGAUAUCUGAGUAAAAAAAUGUGGAAUAUAUUCAGGUGACGGGAGCAGGGCUUGAAUAUAUUAGGUUGAUGGGAGCAAGGCCUCUAAUGAAAAGUGAAAGUUGAUAAAUUCGUGAAC